rnacentral:rRNA from 1 species
GACGUAGGUUGCGAGCGUUAUUCGGAUUCACUAGGCGUAAAGCGUGUGUAGGCGGAUGCCUAAGUCUGACGUGAAAUCUCCUGGCUCAACUGGGAGGGGUCGUUAGAUACUGGGCGUCUUGAGUUGGGUAGGGGGAACCGGAAUUCCAGGUGUAGCGGUGAAAUGCGCAGAUAUCUGGAGGAACACCGGCGGCGAAGGCAGCUCGCUGGAACGGAACUGACGCUGAGGCGCGAAAGCGUGGGGAGCGAACAGG